rnacentral:rRNA from 1 species
GACGAACGCUGGCGGCGUGCUUAACACAUGCAAGUCGAGCGGUAAGGCCCUUCGGGGGUACGACGAGCGGCGAACGGGUGAGUAACACGUGGGUGACCUGCCCUCAGCUCUGGGAUAAGCCUGGGAAACCGGGUCUAAUACCGGAUAUGACUCCAUGACGCAUGUUGUGGGGUGGAAAGCCUUGUGCGGCUGAGGAUGGGCCCGCGGCCUAUCAGCUUGUUGGUGGGGUGAUGGCCUACC